ensembl:lncRNA
AGGGACUUCUGCUGCAGCAGAGUUUGUACCACUUGCCUGCUGCAGCACCAAUGAGAGGAGCAGCUUCCCAACCUCAGCUCCCCCCGCCCACCACACAGGCUGGGGCCAUGGACGUGGCAUCAGACUGAACCUGUCCUGGCAAAGUCAGGAUGAUAUCACGUAUGUGAAUGUCUGUUUCCACCACGUUUGCUAUGGCUGAGUGGAUGCCAUGGUACUGUAUACUCACAGUUGAGGUAAAUUUGCUAAAAGUUAACUGUUCUGAAUAUGUAGUCACAGGUACUGAUUAAUGUGUAUGAACUCUUAACACAGUGUGUGUUGCUAUCAAAUGUCAGUCCAGUAAAGUUUUGUUUUGAAGUUUAAAAUUUUAAAUUGACUUUUUUUUAUCAGUCUUCC